rnacentral:rRNA from 1 species
GGUUGCGAUCAUACCAGCACUAAUGCACCGGAUCCCAUUAGAACUCCGCUGUUAAGCGUGCUUGGGCGAGAGUAGUACUAGGAUGGGUGACCCCCUGGGAAGUCCUCGUGUUGCAACCCC